CCUUUGGGUGGGGAAUAACAGUCGGAAACGGCUGCUAAUACCGCAUAAUGCAGCGGCUCGACAUCGAGACAGUUGUUAAAGCGGGGGAUCGCAAGACCUCGCGCCUAAAGAGAAGCCUGCGGCAGAUUAGCUUGCUGGUAGGGUAAUGGCCUACCAAGGCAACGAUCUGUAGCCGGCCUGAGAGGGCGGUCGGCCACACUGACACUGAAUAACGGGUCAG
rnacentral:rRNA from 1 species